rnacentral:ribozyme from 1 species
UUUUUUUUUUUUUUUUUUUUUUUUUUCCUUC